rnacentral:rRNA from 1 species
UGCGUAGGCGGUUUGAUAAGUCAGAGGUGAAAGCCCGCAGCUUAACUGUGGAAUUGCCUUUGAUACUGUUAGACUUGAAUCAGGUUGAGGUUGGCGGAAUGUGGCAUGUAGCGGUGAAAUGCAUAGAUAUGCCAUAGAACACCAAUUGCGAAGGCAGCUGACUAGACCUGUAUUGACGCUGAGGCACGAAAGCGUGGGGAGCGAACAGGAUUAGAUACCCUGGUAGUCC